GACGAACGCUGGCGGCGUGCUUAACACAUGCAAGUCGAACGGAGAGGCCCUGCUUUUGUGGGGUGCUCGAGUGGUGAACGGGUGAGUAACACGUGAGUAACCUGCCCUUGACUUUGGGAUAACUUCAGGAAACUGGGGCUAAUACCGGAUAGGAGCUCCUGCUGCAUGGUGGGGGUUGGAAAGUUUCGGCGGUUGGGGAUGGACUCGCGGCUUAUCAGCUUGUUGGUGGGGUAGUGGCUUACCAAGGCUUUGACGGGUAGCCGGCCUGAGAGGGUGACCGGCCACAUUGGGACUGAGAUACGGCCCAGACUCCUACGGGAGGCAGCAGUGGGGAAUAUUGCACAAUGGGCGGAAGCCUGAUGCAGCAACGCCGCGUGCGGGAUGACGGCCUUCGGGUUGUAAACCGCUUUCGCCUGUGACGAAGCGUGAGUGACGGUAAUGGGUAAAGAAGCACCGGCUAACUACGUG
rnacentral:rRNA from 1 species